UACUAAGUUUCAAGUUGAUUGGACUUCAACUUCAUCAAAAACUACCUUGACCAAAAACUUUAACCUGAAGCCAAAAACUUUAACCUGAAAUUUGCACCAUCAUUUUCUAUGUUCAGUGAACCGUAAAAUUGGGGUCAAAACUCUAAUUUGGCAUUUAAAUUAGAAAGAUCAUAUCAUAGGGCACAUGUAUACUAAGUUUCAAGUUGAUUGGACUUCAACUUCAUCAAAAACUACCUUGACCAAAAACUUUAACCUGAAGCGGGACAGACGGACGAACGAACGAACGAACGAACAGACGGACGGACGAACGAACGAACGGACGCACAGACCAGAAAAAAUAAUGCCCCUCUACUAUCGUAGGUGGGGCAUAAAAA
rnacentral:lncRNA from 1 species